UACAGAGGAUUCAAGCGUUAUCCGGAAUGAUUGGGCGUAAAGCGUCUGUAGGUGGCUUUUUAAGUCCGCCGUCAAAUCCCAGGGCUCAACUCUGGACAGGCGGUGGAAACUACCAAGCUGGAGUACGGUAGGGGCAGAGGGAAUUUCCGGCGAAGCAGUGAAAUGCGUAGAUAUCCGGAAGAACACCAAAGGCGAAGGCAGUGUCCUGGCUCGUAUCUGACGCUCAGGGGCGAAAGCCAGGGGAGCGAACGGG
rnacentral:rRNA from 1 species